GGGCCCUUAGCUCAGUCGGUUAGAGCAGCGGACUCAUAAUCCGCCCGUCCUCGGUUCGAGUCCGAGAGGGCCCA
rnacentral:tRNA from 1 species